GACAAUUCUCUCAUUCUCUGGUGGGGUAGGGAGCCAAUCAAGUGAUGUAUGCUUCCAAUAAUUGGUAGCUUCCAAGGACCUGGAGGAAGAUUAUUUGAGGUAACUAUUUCACUGCUUUUACUUUUGAAUCUCUUUCCUACUUUUAGGAGAAAAAACAAUUAGAGGAUAAGACUAAAAAAGAUGGAGAACCAUAAGAAAUUAUCCUCCAUUUGGAAAGUUAAGUCUUGUUUGAUUAAUGAUGACAUAUUUCGGUCCAAAUUUAUAUACAGGCAGAGUAUCUAACAAGUUGCAUUAUUUUGUCCAUUAUUCAAUACAUUGAUUAUUGGAAAUGCAUGUAGAUUAAUUAUACUACACAUUGGAUCCUAUUUAGUUUUUUCAUUUAAGUGAUUGAUUGCAAUUCAGGUUAAACUUGCGGACGGCUAAUGCCAAUAAACUAUCAAUUUAAUUCCAAAAACUAUCUAUAUCUCUUCAAUUUAAUCUCUAAACUACGAAAAUAUAAAUAUAGUCCUCGACUCAAACUAUAAAAAAAAAAAAAAAAAAAAAAGAUCCAAGGUCCGCCCCUGCUAAUAUAACAUCAGCUUGGUACGGUUUGAUUACUACUAUAAGAGUUUAUUAGUCUAUAAUUGAGUUGACAUUUGGAUCUCAAUUAUACAAACCAAGCAAAUAUAUAAAAUAUAAUAUCAUGACAUAUACAUGGAUGUAUGAUUUUAAAGUACUCUAUCUAGACUGAAAGAGUCUAAAGAUGUUUCUUCCUAAAAUUAUAGUAGUGUAUUAAUCAACUCAUUAUCGUUUAUAAUUACAUCACAACAAAGUUGACUGUUAAAAAUUUGAUUAAGCUAUUUUGUGUCCACUUCAUUCAUUGUAUGUUUGAAUAUUUUUUUAAUUUUUUUAUAAAUUCGAAUCUUGUGUAUAUGUAAAUGCAUGUUUGAAAGGAGAGACCAUGAUCAGAGUUCUAAACUGGUUUUUAGUUCUUAGAUGAAGAUUAAUCAUUAUUAAAAUUGAAUCGAUGAAUACUAUACACCAAUGACAUGCUUAAAAAACUAGAAUCAAAUAUUUUUAAAGUAAUUUUUCAUGUCCCCUCCAAUCCUAUCACGAUACUGGGUCCACCCAGGCUUAUUUAAAACGAGCUAGCUUCAUGAACGUGGUACUUCUUCCGUCUCAUAUUAUGUGAUCUAGUUAACUCUGUUAUCUAUGCCAAUGCACAAUUUUGAAUUUAAAUAUCUUUAAUAAUUUAUUCGAAAAAAUUAUGAAAAUUUAAUAUUUAAAAAAUAUUCGUCGAGACGAAUCCAACAUCUUAUAUACUAUAUUUUGUCUUUAUAUAUUAAUAGAAAAAUAGAGUCAAAGCGUGUUACAUGAACAAUAUAUAUUUUUAAAUUGUGUCAUUUAAAACGGGACGGAGUGAGUAUUGUUUAAUUGCAUUCAUUAGUCUGUAAUUUAGUUGACUUUUGGAUCUCAAUUAUAUAAACCAGGAAGCAAUGAUAUACUCCAUCUGUCCCAACUUGUAAGAAGAAAAAAAAUCACAGAAAACUAAAACAUAAGAAUUUAAAUAUAGUUUUUUGUGUUUUCUUUGAAAUAAGUUUCAUAGGAAGAUGUAAAAAUUAUUUUCAUUCGCUAUUGAUUAUGAAAAAAUGGAAGAGAGGGAAAAUUAAAUGUAAUUUGAAUUUAAUUUCAUGAAAAUAAACAUAAGUUUUUGUUGGAAAAGAUGAUUUUUUUUUAAAAACAAGAAUAAAUAGAAUAAAAAUUUAUCUUUUUUGAUUACAUUUUGAGAUAAAGAAAAUGAGUAUUUUUACUUACAUUUUAGGACGGAGAGAGUAUGUAUACUAUAAAAUGAUUACCAUUGAUUUUGACACACUCAUUGAAAUUUCAACCUCUCUCUUUUUUUUUUUUUUUUUUUUAUAUGUGUUCUCGUCACAUCAUCACUAAAAUUUCAUAUCUAUUACAUCAGUCUCAUUAUUCUUCUCUAUUUUAAGGUGUAUAAUUGAGAUAGAUGUUCAAAAAUUAUUUUCUAUAUAAUAUCAUAUAUAUGAUGACAUAUACAUGGAUAUCUGAUUUUAAAGUAUUCUAUCUAGUCUGAAAGUUUAAAGAUGUUGAUUCCUAAAAAUUAUAGGAGUAUAUCAAUCAAGUCAUCUAUACUAUCAUUUAUAAAUCACUGCAAGUUGAUAUUAAUUUUUAUAAGCUAUUAUUUGUCUACUUCAUUCAUUUUUGUUAAUUUUUUUAAUUGUGGCCAAAUAGUUUUUUGUUAAUCAAGUCAUCUAUACUAUCAUAUAUAUUAGUUUUUUAAUUGUUUAUAGGGAAAUUAUUACGUUUUCUUAGAGUGGAAAAUUCUUAUGUUGAUGCCCUUGCAAGUUUAGAGAUCAAUUGUGACUUAUUUACACAAUUUUUUUUAUGACUAUCCUGAUCAGAUAAAGCAUUUGUACUUCUCUAAUAUGCAUCGUCGAUUAACAGCUUUAUAGUUUUUUUUUUGGGCUUAGGUCCUCUUCAAUUCCAAAAAAAAAAAUAAAAAAAAAUAACAAAAAGGUCUUUGUAUUGUUACAAAUUUAAAAUUUUAAAUACAAAUUAAUAGGAUGCUUAUAAAUACGAUUUAAAUAACUUCCAAACUUAUAGAAAAUUCAUAUAUAAGUCUAAUCCAAAUACAUAUUCAAUUUAAAAGAGAUUUGUGAUAUAAUUACAUCAAAAAGCUUCUUUAUGUUUCCAGUUUACGAAGAAUAAUAUGAGCACCGUAUUGUGGCUUAAGAGCAAUUACUGUGGCUGGAGCAUGAGCAUAGGCUGGAGAAAGUUGAAAUGAGAAAUGCUGUAAAAUCAAUGUCAUUGCCAUCUUUGCUUCCAAUAGAGAAAAGUUUUGCC
rnacentral:lncRNA from 1 species